rnacentral:rRNA from 1 species
UCGAGGAUCUUCGGCAAUGGGCGCAAGCCUGACCGAGCGACGCCGCGUGGACGAUGAAGGCCUUCGGGUUGUAAAGUCCUGUCGAGGGGGAUCAAGGGCAACUUGAGUGAUCCCUGGAGGAAGCACGGGCUAAGUUCGUGCCAGCAGCCGCGGUAAGACGAACCGUGCAAACGUUAUUCGGAAUCACUGGGCAUAAAGGGCGCGUAGGCGGCUUGACAAGUCAGGGGUGAAAUCCGGCAGCUUAACUGUCGCAGUGCCUUUGAUACUGUCGAGCUCGAGGGAGGUAGGGGUCUGUGGAACUUCCGGUGGAGCGGUGAAAUGCGUUGAUAUCGGAAGGAACGCCGGUGGCGAAAGCGACGGACUGGAUCUCUUCUGACGCUGAGGCGCGAAAGCCAGGGGAGCAAACGG